GUUGAUAUUCCUGUACCGCCAAUAAGCGUUUGAGAGAUGGAGUGGCACAGUAGGAUAAGCUAACCGUACUGUUGGUUAUGUACGGCUAAGCAUUGAGGCAGUCUAAAUAGGCAAAUCCGUUUAGACAAUGCUAGGAUGUGAUGGGGAAGCCCUUCGGGGCGAAGUAGCUGAUUUCACACUGUCAAGAAAAGCUUCUAUCGAGUUUAAAGGCGCCCGUACCGUAAACCGACACAGGUGGGUGAGGAGAGUAUCCUAAGGCCAGCGAGAGAACUAUUGUUAAGGAACUCGGCAAAAUGACCCCGUAACUUAGGGAGAAGGGGUGCCUGUCUAUGACAGGCCGCAGAGAAUAGGCCCAAGCGACUGUUUACCAAAAACACAGGUUUCUGCUAAGUCGCAAGACGAUGUAUAGGAGCUGACGCCUGCCCGGUGCUGGAAGGUUAAGGGGAUCUGUUAGAGCAAUCGAAGCAGUGAACUUAAGCCCCAGUAAACGGCGGCCGUAACAAUAACGGUCCUAAGGUAGCGAAAUUCCUUGUCGGGUAAGUUCCGACCCGCACGAAAGGCGUAACGAUUUGGGCACUGUCUCAACAAUAGACUCGGUGAAAUUGUAAUCCCGGUGAAGAUGCCGGGUACCUGCGACAGGACGGAAAGACCCCAUGGAGCUUUACUGUAGCUUGACGUUGGGUCUUGGUACUACAUGUACAGGAUAGGUGGGAGACUAUGAAGCAUGGACGCCAGUCUGUGUGGAGUCAUCCUUGGGAUACCACCCUUGUAGUACUGGGAUCCUAACCAUAGGCCUUGAAUCAGGUCUUGGAACACCGUCAGGUGGGCAGUUUGACUGGGGCGGUCGCCUCCUAAAAAGUAACGGAGGCGCUCAAAGGUUUCCUCAGCACGGUCGGAAAUCGUGCGAAGAGUGUAAAGGCAAAAGGAAGCUUGAUUGCAAAACAUACAGGUCGAGCAAGGACGAAAGUCGGACUUAGUGAUCCGGUGGUACCGCAUGGAAGGGCCAUCGCUCAACGGAUAAAAGCUACCCUGGGGAUAACAGGCUUAUCUCCCCCAAGAGUCCACAUCGACGGGGAGGUUUGGCACCUCGAUGUCGGCUCAUCACAUCCUGGGGCUGUAGUAGGUCCCAAGGGUUGGGCUGUUCGCCCAUUAAAGUGGUACGCGAGCUGGGUUCAGAACGUCGUGAGACAGUUCGGUCCCUAUCCGUCGCAGGCGUAGGAAAUUUGAGAAGACCUGUCCUUAGUACGAGAGGACCGGGAUGGACGUACCUCUGGUGUACCAGUUGUUCUGCCAAGGGCAUGGCUGGGUAGCUAUGUACGGAAUGGAUAAGCGCUGAAAGCAUCUAAGCGCGAAGCCAACUUCAAGAUAAGAUUUCCCACCGUAAGGGUAAGACCCCAGGAAGACUACCUGGUUGAUAGGUCGAAGGUGUAAGUGCAGUAAUGUAUUUAGCUUAUCGAUACUAAUAGGUCGAGGACUUGAUCAG
rnacentral:rRNA from 1 species